GUGAGGAAUAUUGCGCAAUGGAGGCAACUCUGACGCAGCCAUGCCGCGUGCAGGAAGAAGGCGCUACGCGUUGUAAACUGCUUUUAACCGGGAAGAAACCCCAGGACGUGUCCUGGGUUGACGGUACCGGAGGAAUAAGCACCGGCUAACUUCGUGCCAGCAGCCGCGGUAAUACGAAGGGUGCAAGCGUUAUCCGGAUUCAUUGGGUUUAAAGGGUGCGUAGGCGGAGCGUUAAGUCAGUGGUGAAAUCCUGCAGCUUAACUGUAGACUUGCCAUUGAUACUGGCGCUCUUGAGUGCGCUUGAAGUGGGCGGAAUGUGCCGUGUAGCGGUGAAAUGCUUAGGUAUGGCACAGAACACCAAUUGCGAAGGCAGCUCACUAAGGCGAUACUGACGCUGAGGCACGAAAGCGUGGGGAUCGAACAGGAUUAGAAACCCCUGUAGUCC
rnacentral:rRNA from 1 species